GGCAGAGGGUGCAAACGUUGUUCGGAAUUACUGGGCGUAAAGCGAGUGUAGGCGGUUUGGUCAGUCGGAUGUGAAAGCCCUGGGCUCAACCCAGGAAGUGCACUCGAAACAGCCAAGCUAGAGUAUCGGAGAGGUUGGUGGAAUUCUCGGUGUAGAGGUGAAAUUCGUAGGUAUCGAGAGGAACACCGGUGGCGAAGGCGGCCAACUGGACGAAUACUGACGCUGAGACUCGAAAGCGUGGGGAGCAAACAGG
rnacentral:rRNA from 1 species